GCCCGGAUGGCCUAGCAGGUCAAGGCGCCAGACUCAUAAUCUGGAGACCGCGUGUUCGAGUCACGCUCCGGGCA
rnacentral:tRNA from 1 species